AUGGCCUGUGCUCCACUCCUCCUCACUUUCCUUGCUUAUUGCACAGGGUCUUGGGCUGAGUUUGUGCUGACUCAGCCCUGCUCUGUGUCUGGGUCUCCAGAACAGAAGAUCACCAUCUCCUGCACCUACAACAGUGGCAACGUUGGGAACAGAUAUGUGUACUGGUACCAGCAGCACAUGGGCAGUGCGCCCACUACUGUGAUCUAUGCGGACAAAAAAAGACUCUCUCGGGUGCCCGAUUGGUUUUCUGGCUCCAUCGACAGCUCCUCCAAUGCUGCCUACCUGAAAAUUUCUGAGCUGCAACCUGAGGAUGAGGCGAACUACUAUUGUCAGUCCUAUGACAGCAACUACAAGCACAGUAAUUCAGGUCCAUAG